CUCCAGCGAGCUGACAGUGCCGAAGCGGAUUGGUCUGCUUUCUCUUGCCUGUGGCAGUUGACAGCACCUCCCAGCCGUGCACGGCCUUCUGCUUGCUAACACAGACAGGCUGACUGCAGCAAGCUCAGCUCUACCCCAGUCCGUACACUGGCAGAAAAGUGCACUCUCUUUCCGAUUUUUUUUGCUUCUUAAGUUACUGGAUUCUGCAGUACAAGUCUUCAUGAACAAGCUGCACCGCUUACAGAUUUCACAGCAUUCAAAGGUCACAGAACUGCCACUAUGGUUAAAUGUCUUGUUUAAUGGUUGAGAGGUGCGGAGAAAUCUCAUUUGAUAGCCCUGACCAGAAUGCCAAAUGUGUUCGCAUGCUAGCAUCAAGAUUACAUUUGGAGUGGAAUCUCUAACGCAGGAAAAGAACCAACAUAUGUUUUUGUGACUAUCGGUGCAGUUUGACAGCACAGUCAUAAAGUGCCAGAACAGGGGUGACACCAGAAGUCCAUUGUUGCUAAUUCCACUGGAGCUACAUUUGCACAGGUGCGUUUGUAAGAAACUCUAAGAGCUUGGUUACUAGUAAAUAUGGCCUGAUUUUGCAGUUGUGAGGAUCUAGAUCAGAGGGAGCUUGUUUAUUCAGUAGUACAUUUGUGCAUCAGUUAGGCCUUUCCCACGACUUCCCUCUUGUCCAUCCCUUCAGCAAACUGCACACACUGCUGUCAUGCAAGAUGCAAGCAUGGAAAAGCUGAAAGGAAAAGAUGUGCUAAAAGCAUUCUUUCAAAUUGUUGCCAUAAUUUUUAGGUACUUAUGUCCCAGUUGAGAAAACAUUUACGCAUUUACGCACAUAAUCAGCUUUAAAGAUGCAGUAAUCCUUUUGAAUUCAUUGAGAACGUUCAAUUACGUAAUACCAGUUAUGUAUGUAAGAGAUAUGCAUAUCUCAUCUGAUUAUUUUCUUUCUCUCCUGAGUCUUUUUACCUAUUCACAAAAAAGGAAUGCUGAUGGAUGAUGUAGUUGUUACUGUCACAAGGUAAUUAGAAAGACAACUAGCCUUUCCAUUAUCCUAUGUAAUACAUUUUUAUUCACUGCCUACAUUUCCAAUUAGUUGCAGCAUUCUUAACCUCCCACUGCAAUACCAUCACUGAUUAUUAAACAUCCAACACAAAACAGUUGCAAUGAUCACUGCGCAAGAGCUUUCCUUGAGGGCGGCAAAGAGUUUUUCUUAAAUCUCUUGGCUUGACCUUGACUCAGGCUUAAACGUAAGAAUUCAGGGAGGACAUAAAAUAAAGGAGUCUGUCAGAUACAUCAUUCAGUAAAGUUAGACAUCAUAAUGAUGGCAACUUCCCUAUUCCUCCUUCAGCAAAAAAUGAGAGAUCAGCAUCUUAUUUUUAUUAUUUUGUUAUCAUUGUUUAUUAAGGUGAGAUGUCUUUAUUAUCUCUUAUGUCUGUCAUGUCCCAUAAAGCCCCAUAGAAUGUGGGAGAUUUGAAACUGAACUUUUAAUUCUCCAAAGGAGGCAAUGGAAAAAUUACACAACCUCACUGUUUCCAAUUAGUUAUGGACUUCUGUUUAUUCCUUUACCGCAAACAUUUUUGCUUAGUUAGUAGUACAAAUUGUUAAUCAUAAAAAUGUGUUAUCUCAUAUGUGCUAAGAAUGAAAAGAGAACUGAUUCCUUGCCCUACAGAAAUCAAGCAAUCCAUGUAUUUCCAUUUCCAGAACCUUUUCCAAAGGAGUUUUUUCAGGUAUCCACAAUAACCAGAGCAUUACUGUAAACCUAUUGUCUGUCUUUAACAUUUCCCAGUAGGUGAAAUUCUCAAGGAGUGAUGCUGCUCAGGUAAUAACAAAUAGUGCAUCCUACCUUUCCCUUAGAAAUUCACCUCUCUACUUUUAACACCGGCAUGGUACCACAGGAUGGUAGCAGGUAAAAAAAAAUCUCCUAGUUUGUACCUUGAAUACACAUUAAAAGAAUGAUAAAAAUAAAUUAAGAAUCGGUAAUAAAAAUAUUAAAUCAAAAAUAAUGUCAGGGUUGGGGGAAAAAUUCUGACGUAGAGCUUAAAGAAUUUAGUAUGUGCAGUCUAGAGCAAAGACAUAGUAAUUGUCCCCAAAGAAAUACAAAAUUAUUCACAUUUAACGAGGCCGUGGUGAUAACAGUGGUAGCUAAGAGUUCUUAUUAAUAAGAAAAAGAUUAAAAUAUACAUCUGAAAUAAGACAAAUAAGGGGUAAUAAGAAUAAGAAAAUAAUACUAAGUUUGUUAAAGCAGCGGAGGAACGGGAGGUCAUCUUUUGAAGCAGGAAGCUGUAAGCUCUGCACACCUCUGCCUGCUUAUGUUUCUUCUGCCACAUUCUCCAUGUCUCUUCAGCAGUUUGUUCCCUUGUCCUUUCUAAACAUUAGUUGUUCACAUUAUUGUGUUCUCCAGUGCUCCUUCUAUGCUGCCCUACAACUGUGCAGCACAUUUUCUUCUUCAUGUGUAACAGCAGCAUCCAGCCUUCUAAAAGUUUAUGCCAUUGAUGUUAUCACCACUCGGUUCUGACCCUAGGCAAAUGCCUGUCCUAUUGUCUGUGUAUGAAUCUACAAUCCCAAGGACAGAGGCAAAGGCGUAGUUUUCGUAAGUGAUUAUUAAUUUAAGAUGAUUCUGCUAAUGAGUGCCAUCUAAAAACACGUUUUUUGUACUUUCUAAAAAUCAAUAUCUUAUGGUCUUUGAAACUGGUGCCUAAUAUUUGGACCACUUACUUAAUGUUUGCUAAUCAGUGUUGAAAAAUGUAGUGGUCUUUUUUCCAUAUUUUUAAAUAGUGUACUGCAUAAACAGAUAAUAUAACUAUUUUUUCAGCUAUUACUUGGAAAAGCCUAACUGUAAGUUGUGACACAGUGCAGUGGUAUGGGUUAGCUGAUGGAAUAGACAAUUUCUACUUGUGAUGCAUUUGCUAUGCUAACAAUUUGUGCCAUUUUUUGAAACAUUGGCUCUCAGAAGUGCCAGGAAUAAUGGAAUAUAACUUUUCCUUUACAUUGCUCCCUCAAUACAUAAAGGCACAAAUGCCUGCACUCUAAGGCAGCUGUCAACAAAGCUGCAGACUGGAGGUCCCAGCAUCACUUACAGUAUUGGCAGGCAGGAGGAGGUCGCUGCUGGGGAAUGAAGCCCGGGGAGAGAAGCAAAAGGAAAAGGCUGGGGGACUAGGGAGAGAAUCAAGGAUCUUUCUUCACCAUUCUUUUUCUACAGCUUUUGUGUAUCUGGCCUGAUUUGUUGUGGGAGAACUGUUGGAGACUGUAUUUGGCACAGGGUGGGAUAGCUCAAAGCCAAAAGGAUGGUGCUAUUGCCAGUUUAAACCAUGGCUUUUCGUUUCUUCUUUUUUUUUCUUCCUCUUUUCCCCUCCCUUCUUUUUCUUUGAAGAAAGGAAAAGAAAAAAAGGGAAGAAAGGGACUUGCAAUGAAAACCAGAGCACUGGGUUAACGAAGGCCCUGCAGGCUUCAGUGGGCUGGAAAGAUACACGAGGCACUUCCUCUACCAUCUGGCCUGCAACGCUGCUGCUGCUGCUCUUGCCACAAUAUUCCUUUCUGCAAGUCUUUUCCAGUUCUCAUGUCUACCUGUGAUACAUACUGCCUUGUUAGGUUUCCAGACCCAACUCCACUUUCCUGUCCCUGGCACUGCUGCUUGGUAUGGACGAGGGCCAGAGCCAGUACAUUCAUAUUUCUGUUGUCAUCGUUUGUGCUUCUGUGAUUUGGAGUCUCAGAUCUAUCUGCAUGCAAAGAUUCCCUUCCAAUGUGGUUGGAGUUGAGAAGGCAAAAGAGAAGUUUUAGAUCAGAUGAGUUUGCUCAAGACCUACUUUAAAAACUGUCACAAAGGGCUGGGUGCAUUUCUGUGUAGGAGUAUGUUAUGUUUUAUUUCUGAUGGUUUUUCUCAAAUGUGAUGGGAAGUGUAAUAGUGAGGUCACAUCUUCAAGUUGUGUAAACCAUCACUGCACCAACUCAAGUCAGAAAAGUCCAGAACUUUAAAAAUCUGAAGAUUUUAUCUCUGGAAAGUCUUUAAGAGUGAUGCUACAGUUGAUUUUUGAGGCUGAAAACUUCAUAGUAUAGACUAUAGAAUCAUAGAAUCAUUUAGGUUGGAAAAGACUUCUAAGAUCAACUAGUCAAUCAUCAAACCAUCAUCACCAUAUCAUUAAACCGUGUCCCUAAACCUCCCAGGCUUUCUCGUGAGCAGUGCUUAUCUGGUUCCAUUAUGACAAAAGAGAGAAAAGGAAAGUCAAUCAAUCACAGCAAAACCUCAGAUGAGUUAAAGAUAAGUAAUCACUCCACCUAGUACAAUUUCAAAGAACAAGUUCAGUAGGAAUCAGAUGUAUUAGCUUUCAGUUAGACCCAUUAAUGCAAGAAACAUUUUCUACACAAUUCGUUUAUUUAUCCACAACUGCUGAUCCUUAAACUGACCAGAAAGCAGGAAGAAACAGCAAGCACUCUAGAGCAAUUUAUUUUAUUUGAAAUUAUUUGACGUUCACAGGAAAAUAUACAUAUACUGCCAGUUAUUACAUUUAAAAUCACAGAAUCAUAGAUUUGAUUGAGUUGAAAGGGACCCUUAAAGGCCAUCAGGUCCAACUCCCUGCAAUGAACAGGGACAACUACAGAUUGAUCAGGAUGCUCAGAGCUCCGCCAGC